rnacentral:lncRNA from 1 species
GCUGAAUAUAGUUUUUCCAUUGGAUUAGUCUAAAAGGUAAAAGCAAAUGCGUGUCUUUAGAGCAUCUCUUCUUGUGCACAUCAAAUAUACAGUGUGUUGAAGGCCUGGGAGGCCAUCCGACCUCCUACCUGAUGGAUUACACUAGGUUAGUGUCACGUUUUACUAACGCUCCCUAGAAAACCUUAUUUUAGAAACAUUUCCUGCCUCAUUUUAUCUGAGUUUGCUCAAGGAACUGAAAUCAUCAUGUCCUGAGCUACAUGCCAUGUGCAAGGUCUCUGGCUUAGCACACAGAAAACUCAGAGGAAUUGUAAUUCAGUGAUUCUUGCCAUCUGCAAGCCUGUGGAAUUCAGGUGCCCACAGGAAGGAAUGGAGAGUUUUUUCCAGCCUGACCGUAUCAGCCAUCUCACCACAAGAACCUUCUGUUUUGGCUGUCGUCCCUCUAUCAGACUCAGGCUGCUCCUUAUGGCCAACUCAUACUUUCCUUAUCACCUUCUUGUCUUUCAUGCUUUGAUAAACAAGCUGCCAUCUGGGGAGGACCACCUGGCAAGGAAUAGAGGGCAGCCUCUGGUCAACAGCCAACAAGGAACAGAGGGCCCCAUCCGAACAACCAGCAAGGAAAUGAAUGGCUUCCAAAACCACCUAUUGAGCUUGGAAAUGGCAUCAAUCAACCCUUCCUCAGCCAAGCCUUCCGAUGAGACUGCACACUUUGGUUGAAGCCUUGUUAGAGAACAUAAAGCAGAAGAUUCAGCUAAGCUGUACUCAGAUUCCUGACCAUCGGAAACAGACAAUAAGAGUAUGCUGUUUUCAGCUGCUAAAUAUUGGAGUUAUUUGUUACAGAGCAAUAACCAACUAGCACAUGAACGUAUGAUUUUUAUAACACAGUAGUAAACUUCUUUUAAAAAGGACAUUCAAAUAAAAUGCAUUUGAAAUGGUAAAGAACUUUGCGAACAUUGUAUUAGUUCGUUUUCACACUGCUAUGAAGAAAUACCAAUGACUGGGCAAUUUAUAAAGGAAAGAGGUUUAGAUUGAUACAAGUUUCGUGUGGCUGGGAGGCUUCAGGAAACUUAUAAUUAUGGAAGAAGACAAAGGGGAAGCAAGCAUCUUCUUCACAAGGCAGAAGGAAGAAGUGCAUAGUGAAUGGUGAAAAAGCCCCUUAGAAAACCAUCAGAUCUCAGCUGGGC